GAAGCUACUGGCACCGAUACCACCAGACCUCCAGAAGCUACUGGCACCGAUACAACAGGCUCAUCAGAAGCCACAAGACCCCAGGGCCAGAAGGCCAAAAAAGACACAGAAAUCUAGUCCAACAGAGGGGAGCCAGCAAGAUGAAGCAAAAAAAAAAAGUAUGAGUGUCCAGAAUGCUGUAGGAGAGCCAGGGAAAACAACUUUGACUACUCCAAGAUUUUGAAAAGAAGAGUGAGAGAGGGAACAGAUGAGGUCCUCAUUCAUUGGGUUCCAUGCAAGACCUGGUAAGUGUACUAAUGUACAGUUUAUUACAUACACA